AGCUCUCAGCAAGCUGCGACUACCCAAGCUUUCUCUGCACCUUCUUCUGCUUCUGCCAGGACUCUGCAUUCUGUAGAGGAAACAAAUCAAAACACACAACCAAUGGCAACAUUUUCAUCUGCCUAACUAGGGGGAAAGGGAGGGAAAGUUAGGAUCCCUGCCCCUAGCCUAGCUGACCGGUAAGUCCCCACCCAGUUAGUCCCUAUAAAUCUAGUCCCCAUAUUGUUACAAAUGUAUCCAUUUUGUCCUAUCCCCUUAUCUCUAGCAGAAGUCAUGUCAACCUCUUUUGUUUGCUAAACCAUUUAUCGUUCUACCAGUGAAAUGUCG